ACAGAUAUCCGCUGGAGGAGGACAUGAUGAGAUCUCUUCCUCACAUUCUGCUAAAUCACCGUAAAACCAAAUAAAUUAGGUUCCUGCUUAAACAUGGAACUCCACAGAGCCACUGUGAUCCAGGGGACUUUCUGAAAGACGACCCCAUCUCGGUUACGACUCCUGAAAGUACCUUUAAUAAGGGAAAAGGCCACUUAGCCCAUCAUUAGAGAAUAGAACGGCGUAACAGACCAAAGACUGAAGCCAAAUUUAGCUGCAUGAUGAUAAUAGCAGAGGCAAAACUUCUGGAACUUGAGACCAGGAGAGAGGAAGAUGUACCUUCGUCCAAGUGCCUGCCAAUGCAGGAGAAGCAGUCUGAAGUGACUGAGUCUUCAGAAAGGCACGAAGAAAUAUGAGCAACUGGAAGAGCUGCUUGGCUGGGUCCUGCAUGGAGCACUUAGCUCACACUGCUGCCCAGAACCGGCUGCCCCUUCCCUCUCCAAAUGCCUUUGUUUGCAUAUGGUUUGCAAGGAGACUGCCAGCCGUGGCCAAGCACAGCUCCACACUUAUCAAAUUUCAUCUAAAACUCUUCAUCUCAAAAUGCCACUAUGCCCACAGUACAAAGUGGAUCAAAGGCUCUUCUCGUACCUUGAUUAUGGAAGGCAAUUAGUUCUUUGUUACACUAAAACAUCGUACCACAUCAGUGGCCUGUACAUAAAGAAGAGAAGCCCAGUUCUUCCAGAAAAGGAGCAUACUGUCUCUUUUCCAAAUAUGUCUGGAGAAAGGCAAAUCUAUUACCUUUUAUGGACAUACAGUAAGAUACCUAUCAGAAACUACAAACUAUCAUGUGCAAACUGAUUUUAAUGACAUACCCAUGCCCUUUAAUGAGUGUACUUACUAAUAGUUUGCUUCAUUAGGGAAUGAUAUCUAGAUAGAGUAUACAUUUUUAACUCUCUAUAAGUUUAAGCUUCCAGUAUUCCUGAUAGUGGUGGGUUGAUGUGUCAUUUUCCUAGACCAGUCAGCAUCUAGAUAUUGACUGAAACCUUGUUGCUAGUAUUUAUAGAAGCCACUCAUACCUGAAUUAGUGAUGGAGCCACAAGCUCAGCUUUUCUUCCUGAGGUGCAGGGGCCAUACCCAACCACAGAAAGGUUGGAGCAGAACAGAGGCUGAGCCUCCCACUGCUCUGGGAACUGACCUUGAGUUGACCUUGAUCUGGCCUUUCUGUCUGAAGGACAAUGUCAGCUCUUUGGCUCCUUCCUUCUGGCCUGAGGGCAGGCAUGCUGCUGCUCACUCUUCUUGGUUUCAGGCUAGACCAUGGGGCUUAGUCCCUCUCUGAUGUCAGCCAUUUCCCUGUAACAAAUCUCUAACAGACACUACUACGUGUUCACACCACUGCUUCUGUUUCCUAACAACAGAAGAGUUUUUCCUCGGAACCUUCUCUAUUCUUCCUUGCCUACAGAAAGAGUCGAUGAGAAUUAAUCUGGGACCUUGAUUCACUGACUUCUAAGCUGGUUAAUGCUCGUAACAUAUAUUUCACACUACCCCUGUUCUGAGAAUCCUACCAAGCCCCCACUCAGCUGAGAGGAGGUUUUGUUGUCUUUCUGGAAACCCAGCUGAAGAUGGGCUUUCUCUUGGGAAUCCCCCCUCCCAUCCUGCCCAGCCUGCAUGACACCUGGUAAUCCUCCAUCCUGCUCUGGUAAUAUUGUCUAUACCUUGGAGUGGCUUGUAUCCUAAGUGCUUGCCCCUAUACUGUGACUGUACCAAUUCUCCAGUAGAUUGCAAAUUCACGGGCGACCAUACUCCCUGUGCUCAUGGAAUGUGCCAUUCUUUCCAUCAACGUCUAGUGACGAGGCCAUAGAUGUUCACAGCUGCCUGUCGCUGUGACAUUGGAUUUCUGAUUCUUAUUAACCACAGAAGGAGAAGAAAGAUUUCACAACCUUCAAAAAGCACUGGGGUGAAAAAAUCAGAACUUCAGCUCGUUAUCCCAGAAGCACCUGCUGGUAAGCCUGCUCCAGUGGAACAUCUAUUGGUACCCAGGAUGAGGCAUUCCCAAAACUCAAGAGGCUAAGGCAGGGCAUGUCAGUAUAAAACCAGCCAUGUCUAAAUCACCAAUUUUCUUGAGACAACAAAAAUAGCAAGCAAGGAAACACCCCCUUGGUUCCUUGCUUAAUAAAGUAAAUGACUUAGGCUAGUGGUUCAAGAACCAAACUGUAGGGCUGGAGAGAUGGCUCAGCAGUUAUCAGCACUCACUGCUCUUCUGGAGGAUCCAGGUUUGGUUCCUUGCACCCAUACAGAAGAUCACAACUCUCUGUAACUCUAGUUCCAGGGGAUCUGACAUUCUCUUCUGGUCUCUGCAGCACAAGGCAUGCAUAUGAACAUGGAGAUCAUACAUACAUGGGGCAAAAAUACUUAUACAGAUAAAAACAAAAAUAAAUAAAUCUUCAAAAAACAAGUCAUACCUUUGUUUCACAAGAUCGUAUGUAGAACGCUCAAAGAGCAGCAUCCAGUACAGCUGUCCCAGGAAGGGGCUGAGUCACAAGAAUUGCAGUCCCUUCUCUACCUACCAGGGCAAAGAAUUGAGGAAAACCCACAGCAGAUUUAAGAAGUCAGGGAUCCUUCUUCCUGCACCUGGGGUGUAGCUGAGCUAAAAUGCUUACACUGUAUGUUCGUAGAGCGGAUUCUGUUGCUAAGUCUGAAAAGUAGUUUUCUCUUUUUAUUGAACAUCUUUCCAAUAUUAGAUCUCCUUUCUACGUGGUGUUUUAAAACCUUUUACUAUCUACGACACUUUGCCAGAAAAAUACUCAAGAAUUCGGUUGCUGAUCUCCCUAGACUCUGAGCCCCCACACAGUUACAGAUCUACCUCACAAUAGGUUCCAUCCCUAUGCAAUACCCAGAGGCCGUGAGCUUCCUACAUACACCACACAAGUUAUAAACCUGACAGCAUUAACAGCUCAUCUUCUGCUAGGAACGGGGAACUAUGCAAACCAUGAGCAGACCCCUUUGCAUCGAACAAUUACGGAAGAGAACAGACUGGGUCAGUCACUAACAUUAUAAAAGUUUAAAAGUAAACGAUGCUAGAGAUGUCUUAUGGAAGUCUCUAGAUUAGAUGACUUUUGAAACAAAUAAAUCUGCUUAAUAC
rnacentral:lncRNA from 1 species